rnacentral:rRNA from 1 species
UACGUAGGAGGCAAGCGUUGUCCGGAAUCACUGGGCGUAAAGCGCGUGUAGGUGGAGGAGGAAGUCUGCUGUGAAAGCGCCUGGCUUAACCGGGCGAGGUCGGUGGAAACUCCUCAUCUGGAGGGCGGUAGAGGGGGGUGGAAUUCCGGGUGUAGUGGUGAAAUUCGUAGAUAUCGGGAGGAACACCAGUGGCGAAAGCGGCUUCCUGGUCCAGCACCGACGUUCAGGCACGAAAGCGUGGGGAGCAAACAGG